UGGGGAAUAUUGCACAAUGGGCGCAAGCCUGAUGCAGCAACGCCGCGUGCGGGAUGACGGCCUUCGGGUUGUAAACCGCUUUCAGUUCCGACGAAGCGCAAGUGACGGUAGGAACAGAAGAAGGACCGGCCAACUACGUG
rnacentral:rRNA from 1 species